CCUACGGUGGGCAGCAGUGGGGAAUAUUGCACAAUGGGGGAAACCCUGAUGCAGCGACGCCGCGUGAGUGAAGAAGCGUUUCGGCGCGUAAAGCUCUGUCAGCGGGGAAGAAACACGGUUCGCGAGAGCCGCGGACGGUACCCGACCAAGAAGCCCCGGCUAACUACGUGCCAGCAGCCGCGGUAAUACGGAGGAUCCGAGCGGUAUCCGGAUUUAUUGGGUUUAAAGGGUGCGUAGGCGGGCUUUUAAGUCAGCGGUAAAAAUUCGGGGCUCAACCCCGUCCGGCCGUUGAAACUGGGGGCCUUGAGUGGGCGAGAAGAAGGCGGAAUGCGUGGUGUAGCGGUGAAAUGCAUAGAUAUCACGCAGAACCCCGAUUGCGAAGGCAGCCUUCCGGCGCCCUACUGACGCUGAGGCACGAAAGUGCGGGGAUCGAACAGGAUUAGAUACCCUGGUAGUC
rnacentral:rRNA from 1 species